GUCUAUCAACCCAGUGUACUUAUGUGGGUCUUCUAUUUUUCUAGCGCUGUGUAUGAGGUCUAUAUAGGGAGUAUUAUUUGGAUUAGAGAAGCUCCAUAGGAGAGCAUAGCGUGGUUGACCGUAGUAAAAACCCCGAUAGGCUUAAGCGGGGUUUUUAUUUUUCUUUUUGGAGUUUGUGGAUUCGUUUUACUUGGAGUUUUCGUUUUUGGAUUUUUGUAUAUGGUUUCUGGUUUUACUUUUUGUGGAUGUUUUUGGUUACAUUUGGAUGCUGAGAGUCGUCAUUGGAUACAAGUAUAUGUGGUGAAGAAGAUUUCUACUAACGAAUUGUAGUUUGUUACCAGACUAUGGAGGAUAUCAGGUUUUUAUAACAAUGUUAAACAUUUAAAUUCAUUUGUCUUAUUUAUUUUAUAUUAUUUAAUGAUAGUAAAUAUUUUAGGUUCUUUUUUUGUUAACAAAUUAACGUGUUCCUUUUUUUUUUAUUAUUAUUAUUAAAAUUUAUUGGGGAUAGUCAUACAUUCAACUUUAUAUACAUAUAACUUAUUAUAGAGGUCAUUAUAGUACAUUACUUUUUAGAUUUGUAUUAGUGGCACUCAUCAGCUCAUGCGGCAACUAUAGGGUAGGCACUAGUAUCGCCAAUGUUUAAAAUAUUUCUAAUCUGUAAAUUUAAAUUAUUUUGAUAUUCAUUUCCUUAGCCACUUUAUGCUACCAAUGACUGGACUUGUUUAUUUUCAUAUUUAUUUGUGUUGCAACUGUUUAAUAAAUAAAUGUAAGUAAA